UUUAUUUCUUAUACUAUUUGAAGUAAUGUAAUUCCUAAUUUAAGUGUAUAUGCACUUACAUUUAAUUACAUAAUUGUUAAUUUAAUAAUCUUGAAUAUAUUAAUAAAUGUUAAAAUGUUAAAUAUAAAAAAAUGUGUUAAAAAUGGAUAACUUCUAUCUACUUUAAUUUAUUAUCGAUUUGAUCUUUAAGUAAUGUAAUGUAAGCAAAUGGGAAAUGUGUCUCUAUAUCAUUAUGCUGAAAUCCAUCUCUCUGUUACAGGCUUUCAGAAGCUGCUGGAUCCUCUUCACUCUGGCUUGCUGAUAGUUUUAUCUUGCAGCAUUAUUCUUGUCACGGGAGACGGCAGCGAUCGCGGGCAGAGCGGCGAUCGUGCGGGCAGGAAGUAGGCAAGGCAAACAGAGUACGGGGUAUACGGGGAUUUAAUGAAGGCAAGGCAGGACAGGACAUGGGCAUCGACAACAUCAAUGACGGACGAAGGACUAAGAUCAGAAAAACAGUGAUUUAUCAAAAGUGGAAUGGUCACAUAAGCAGUGCCAUGACGAGGACACACUGAAUUACGCUGCCCUGAACCUUAAGAACCCAAAACCCAGGAGACAGAAGAAAGACGGGAAUAAUGACACUCUGUAUUCUGACCUCCGCUACAGAGAUUAUGAAUAAAGAUGCUUCUCAUUCAUGUCAGUCACACAGAGUGUUCAGGGUGUAGCUUUAAUAAUGUUCAGAAGGAGGGCAGGGGAGCCAGUGCU